rnacentral:lncRNA from 1 species
AUGCCAAGCCCCAAGAUCAUGGCAUUCCAAACAAUAAUGUCCUUCUUCCUCAUUUGCUGGAACACCACCCAUGCCUCGACCGUGCUCCCACACUUGGCGUACAUAUCAAUCAAUGCAGUCCCUAGGACUGGAUUGUCAAGAAACUCAUCCCAGUCCACCAUCCUGAUUGCCUGCCGUCCCAGAUCCAAUGCACCCAACCUUCGCCCCAGCUACUGCAUAGCAAUCUGGCUUCAUUCCCUCUGCCUGCAUUGCAAGGAAAAGGUCCAGAGCCUCUCGUGGGUGGCCGUUGGAAGCAUAUCCCCCAACCAUGGCGCCCCAGGCCACUGCAUCCUUGUGCCGCAUCUUGUCAAACACCUCCCUUGCCUUUGCCAUCUCCCCACACUUGACAUACAAAUCUACCGCCGCAGUGGCCACGAACACGCUCUGUGCAACGCCCUCCUGCUCGGCAGCCCUCCAAACAGUCUCCCCAGUUGCCAAAUCCGCAAUCCGAGCACACGCAGUCAGGACACGCACGGCCGUGAAGCUGUCCGGUCGCAUACCAUUCGCAAAAGCAUUCCUUGCGACAUGGACGGCUUCCCUGAGGUCCCCAGCAUCCAUGUAGGCAGUGAUGAGAGCGGUCCAGGGGACGGUGCUGGGGCUGAGGAGGGAGGUGAGGACGUGGGGGUUGGUGUGGGAGGGAAGCUUGAGGGAGCGCGCGUGGAGCUGCUCGCCCGCGCGGAGAGGGUGCGGAAGGCGGGAGGCCGACUUGAGGGCGAUGGGGAUGGUGAGGUGGGAGGGGUUGGGGAGGAGGCAGUGGACGCGGAGCGCGUGGAGGUGAAGGGCGGAGGAGGUGAGGGCGCGGAGGAGGAGCGAGGAGAGGCCAGCGAGGAGGUCGAGGCGGAGGAGGCGGGCGUGGAGGAGCUUGACGGUGAGCGGCGGGAGGCGGUUGCUAGGGGCGACGCCGGCGAGGAGUAGCCGCCUGAUG